CUAAAAAAUAAAUAUAAAAAUAAAUAAAUAAAAAGAGCUGGGCAUGCGGUUCAGUGGUAAGUGCUCCUGGGUUAAAUUCCCAGUAGCCCCAGAAAAGGAAAUUGUAGUCUCAACAAGUGAGACAGAUGAACAGGUGAUGAGAAUAAACAGGGAAGCUAUGAACUGCAAAUCUGCAAACAAGAUUUUGUUGUUUUCCUUCCAUUUUGAAAAUUUUUUCAAUUGUUUUUCAGUAUUUCCUGUUUUGUGUAAGAAACUAUUUACAUACAAUAGAAUUCACCUGUUGAAGUGUCAGUUGAAUUUUUUUUAUACCUGUGUAACUGCCACCAGAACAAUUAAGAUGUAAAAUGGUUCCCUGAAACAGUUUACCUGUGCACUAAAGCUUUUCCUCUGUGCUAACUUGCCAUCAUUUUAAAACUGGGAUAUUUCACAUUGAAAAGCUGCAAAGAGAAAAUAGCAUAUGAAAAGGUGUAUAGUAAAGGACAUAAAUAUGAAGGCAUUAUAAUAAAAAGGCAUAUUAAAAAUUUGGAAACUGUAGUAGCAGUGGACUCUGCAUUCCCAAGGGACAACAGUCAGCCCUUGGCUUGCUGGUUUUAUGUGCCACUCUCCAAAACAAGCGCAGUGUGUCUUUAGAAGAGGACUGAGAUUGACUCUGAGAAAGGCUCCCAGGGCAGUUGGCCUGGGAAAAGGAAUGAGUUUAUUAGGAAGUGAAGAAGUGGGCAAGAGUAUUCUAAGCCAAAGAGAAUUAGGGGAGAUCCUCGGAGGAGCGGGCAGUAUGGGGGCCACAUUGUGUAAGAGUUACAUUCUGUGCUUCCCUUGUUUAUAGGUAGUUUGAAGCUCUUUAGAGAAGAGUUUUGUGUAUGUGUUUUAGUGUUUGUGUGCUGUGGUUUCUGAAAGUUUAUGUCUUUAUCUGUAUGUUUCUGGGGACAUGCCUUUUUGUUUGUUGGAAUGGAAAGAGAAAAUAGCAUAUAUUUUUGCAAGAGUUAUAGGUCUGAGUGCUUAGGUUGUAAGUUUCAAGGGAGAGGUGUGCCCAGUGAAAAUAACCUCCCUUUCCCAGUUUCCUACAGUGUCUUUGGCCAGCCUGGCUGGGGCGGGGCGUGCAGUGUGCAGACCAGAGGCCUUGUGGGGAAAGGGCAGAUAAGGCCCUCAGUGCCCGCCCACCAGCCGGCACCCCGCCUGACACUGUAAUUCACUGCCACUGCCUUGUGCUAAAUUACCAACAAAGCCAUGGACAGGCUGGGAUCACGGUGCCCUCUGCCAGGCUACUCGCGGCCCUCUGUCCUCAUAUGCUUUCUGAUCCUGGCAACUUCUUUUCUGAUGUACCCCAUGCUCAGGACCCUUAGCCUACAGCUUCACUCAGCCAUCACCGGCAGCUAUAUCUCUGGCACACACUCCAUCGUCUUUGUCAACUGUCCCAACGAGCAAAUUGCUAGAGACAUUGCCAGGGGCAUACUAGAUAAGAAACUGGCUGCCUCUGUGAACAUCUUGCCCAAGACAUCUUCACUUUUUUUUUGGAAGGGAGAAAUAGAAGAAGCCACUGAGGUCUUAUUGUUAAUAAAGACAAAAACUUCCAAGGUCCUCAUGCUGUCUGGCUUUAUCAGGUUGGUGCAUCCUUUUGAAAUCCCAGAGGUCUUCAGUCUUCCCAUGGACCAAGGAGAUGUGCACUAUUUAAAGUGGCUUGAGGAGGGCAUGGAGGAAGACUGAGUAGGGAAGCUUCUGGUGCGUGCUUCUGGCUGCUUCUAUCCCUCAGCUGCUGAACUCUGGGCCAACCGCCCUGCUGCGCCAAAGUAGGUGGUGAUAGAUGACUUGAGGUGUGACAAGGAUGAGUCGUCUUCACUGAUGCUCUCAAAUGUGUGGCUAUCGAUGCCUUCGUCUGGCCGCUCGGGGCCCAAAGUCCCCUCCGCACUGCUGUCUGAGGGGCAGCGUCCACCCAGCUCAGCCGCCCGCCGCUUGGCCCGCAGCGGCAUAUAUGCCUUGGCUGCCAGCUUCCUCUUGCGGCUGCCUACUGUCCGUCUACAGCAGGAGUGGAGAGAGGAAGAUGAUGGGAAUGAGAUGGGAUGACUGUGACAAAUCCCUUGCUCCCAGCAGUCUCCUGGGUACCAGGCACUGUGCCUGGCCCGGGGCAUGGAUUAUCUCACGGGUCCUUGCAGUAACCCCAUAAGAGGGAAACUGAAGCUCCAGGGGAGAAGCAGCCAGCUGGGGAGUGGCAGAGCCAGGGUUCCAACCUAGGUCUGUCCAGCUCUAAAGCCCAGGCUCUUUGGUGCCAGAACCAGAACUGCUAGAGUACAGACAACUCUUCUCUGCGCCCCCUGAGGUCAUGCAGCAUAGAGGCCUUGUGUAUGCUGCUCGUCUGUCACCUGCACUCAUGUGGAGCUAGCUGAGCCAAAUAGGGAUGAGGACAGGGUCAAGGACUGAAGGACAGACCUUGUACUACACAGGCAGAUGUGUUAGAGAAGGGACACAAGAUUAGAUUCACAUCCACAGAUGCUUAGAAAUGGAAGCCAAGACCCAAAGCACUAGUGAAAACCAAAGAAACAGGAAGAAACCAAAUAUAGGGCUGGGUGUAGCUCAGUGGUAGAGCACUUGCCUAGCUUGUGUGAGGUCCUGGGUUCCAUCCCCAGAACCAACCAACCAACAAACAAAAAACCAGAGGCAACAUUAGAAAAAGACACAUGAGAGACUUCUGCAGACUAAGACUUCAGGACACAGGUCUACAAGUGUUAUACUUUUAAUUCUACUUUUGCAAGGGCUUCACAUGUCCUAAAAUAAAGGAGCCUGAUUCCAGAAGAAAUCCUUCUCCUUUGCAGACAACCCUCCCUGUGCUGCUGACCACCGGCUCUUGCCAAGUGGGCCAGCCCUUCAACUUGGGCCCCCUGGAAUUUGUCCUCCACCAGACCCUGCAGUCCACAGGAUGCCAUCCUCCCUCUACCAGGCUUCCCUACACAUGCUCUUCCCUUAGAGGCCCUGGAACUCAGACAGCCAGAAACCAGGGUUAGGGACCCCACAGCCUGAGAAGCACGGGCCUGCAAAAUUACGGCACACAGAAGCCAGGAACCCCUAAUAAAAGACAACCCCAGAUUGGAACCAGCCAGCCAGAGAUGUCACAUUGUUCUGCAGCAGGUGAAGAGCAUUCCAAAGGGAUGUGGCCCCAGCAUCCUGGAUGCCUGUCCUUAUCCCACCUGAACCCCAGGGACUCGGAACUGGAGGGUCCCAGGGCCAGACUCUUAGAAUUGCAGAAGGCCAGGUCCUCCAGCCGGGGGCUCAGGUAUGCAAAUUAAGCCCCACAAAAGUAGAAGUGGGAGGUGGCAGCCUGGGAAGAACAACGAUUCUUGUGAAGCUUGAGGUCAGGGCUGACCUCUGGGAGCUCACCUGGAGUCAUAGGAGAGGCUGGUAGAUGCAGAACCCGAGGUGCUGGCAGCGUCCGUGGAGUCCACGUCUGAGAAAAAGGUCUGGCCUGAGCUGGCACUGAGAGAGGGGGCAAGGGUGAGCCUGCCAUUGGUCCAGCCGAGCAAAGUCUUGCUGACCUGGCUCCUGGGGGCCCUGGGGGACCCUGUCUCUCCAGCUUUUCUCUGCCUCUCUGGCAUGCAUCCUUCAUUCCCAGUGGAGGCCCAUCUUUCCAUUGCUGAGCUUCCCACCACCACACCUGCCAAUUUCCCGCCUAUCCCCCUUCAAAGUCCAGGAGGCAGGAGAGCCUUCCCUGACCACCUUCCUCUCCACUAGGCUUGUAAAUAAAUGUGACAGAAGCACAGAUAGUGAUACUUAAUGAACCGUGAGGCACUUGUGCGACUUUACAGAUCAGUGUUUCCAUUUUCAGUAUCUUGUUGAAAGAAAACAUCAGGAGGUUCAAAGAGGUUAAGAAAUUUAGCUGAUGCCACAUAGUACUGGUAAACAGGGUCUGGAGCUCAGCCUGGCUCAAUCCCCAACUCUUUCCUCCAUGGCUUUAGGUAAACACUGAAUGACUUCUAGUGAUUUUGGAAAUCAGAUGUCAAAAGAUGUAGACCCUCCCCUUGAGUGUACCCAAGCACACACAGAAAGGUAUCCAACACAGCCUGGGAGGAUCUGUGUAGGCUCCUUGGAAGGAGCCAGGUCCUGGGUUUUCAGAUGGGAUGGGGUGGGCAGGGCAAAGGGCCUCCCAGGCAGAGGGAGCAGCAUGAGUGAAGGCAAGGAGGUGUUAAACCACAGUGUGGGAUAACCACAGAAAUUGGUGUAAGGUGGUGGGCAGGAAGAGGUUGGGGAGCGGGGGGCACAGCAAGGCAGCCUCAGUGCCAUGGGGGUGCCAUGCUGAAAGCUGGUAAAGGCCCUCUAGGCAGCCCCAUGCCACAGGGACCCUUUAACCUCAGAAUACUUUCUGCCUUUCCCCCUUCCAGAGCCUCCUGCCUGGCUGUGCGGAUGCAGGGAGCCUCCACACCUUUUCUGUCCCAGCCUCCAAAGCAGACCUUUCUGCUGGGCCCCUCACUGAUACCUUUUUAAACUCUGAAUUUCAUCCAGCGUGAAGUCAAAUAUGCUAGCCAGGUGGUGGUUGGUGCUCCAGGCCGAGGUGAAGUCACUCUGUGGACACAGGAAGAAGAGACGAUGGGUCAGUCAGCGGGUAUCAAAUCCACCUUCCUCAAGCACCUUUUGCCCCAGCUGAGGGCCACACCAGCCAGAGCUGCCAAGUGCUGGGCCUCCCUAGGGUAAGGCCUGCCACUUCCUCUUUAUUCCAAGUCCUGACCAGAGAGCCAAGUCACCCUGAUUCUAGUCCUGGCUUUGUCUCCAGCCAGCUGGAUAAUGCUGACCCCUCUGGCCUUAGUCAUCUCAACUGCAAAAUGGGGGCAAGAAACCCUGCCCUGUUUCCCUCUUAAAAGGUGUCAGGAUGCCCAGAAAAUUAAAUAAUGGCUAUCAAAGGCACUAAGUAAUGCCUGUAAACUGUAAAGUGCUGGGGAGAUGAGGCAUUGUUAGUAUCACUGCCCACAGAGAGGGCUUCAGUGAGGGUGCCAAAGAAAAACAAAUGCCCUGGAGCCCUGGUUCCAGGCUGAUGUGUGACCUCAGGAAAGUUAUUAUUGCUCAACCCUGUCUUUGUUUCCCCACUUGACAAAGGGGACAAGGAUACUACUGCCCCUGGGUUCCUGGGAGAACUUGGGGAGGCAAGGGAGAGGUACUGGAGCACCUAACUUUUCCUUGUUUUGCUAAAUAGGAAAUGGGACAUGGGAGAGUUCCCUGGGCUUGGGGGACUUCAUUUUCUGCACAGGAAUCCCUAAUAUGGUGGCGGUCCUGCAUGUGAAAGUGGAGGAUGAGAAAACAAGGAACUAACACUGGGAAUAGCAUCUUCCAGCAAAAACUUUGAUCUUUUUCUUCUAUAAACUCGCCUUUUCUGCUGCUGGAAUUCGUGAGGCAACAAACUGUGGAGACAGAAAAGGGAGAGGGUGGCUCAGUCAGAGCCUGAGGGCCAGAGGGGGCCCCAGAGGAAGGAGCCUCAGGAGCACAGGGGCAGGGGCCGGUAGCUGGGGUAGGGAUGGACUUGAAUGAGGGUGGAUGGCAGCACCUUCAGAAGGAGUCUGGGGAGGAGUGCACUUGCUUUGGGGCAGGAGAUGCAGGAGGGUUAUCGUGGGUAGAAAAAGAAAAGGUGCCUCUCUGGGCAUGUGUGUCCAGGUACCCUGCCCCCAACACCCAGGAGGGGGCUCAGCUCAGCCGAGGGCAAGGGCACGUCCACACCCAAUUUCCCUUUCUCUUCCCCUUAGGGCUGGGGCCUAUGAUCUGGCUUUUCCUGAGAGGCAAUAAGGGGGCUGCAGAAGGAGCCUGGGAGCCACUGACUAGCUCUCUCGGGGAACCUAUGCUGGACUAGCUGUGGGGGCUCUUGGUUUAUGCAAAUGUCACCAUGCUCUCAGAUCCCAGGCAUGGCCCAUUGUCCUGGGAGCUGGGAGCAGAGAAACCAACUGGGGCUGCAGCCCUAACCCCUAGGUCCCCAAGCACUGACCCAGGCUUGCUCUUUCCUCUCUUACGCAGCUCAGAGGAGCUAGAGGAGGCGCCGUUUUCAUUUGGCACCAGACCCUUGUCAGGCAGCAGCUUCCCCGGUGGGUUGGGGGGGACACGGAUGCGCAGGCGGAAGAUGCACUUCUUCUUCUUGAUCUCUUUGCCGCAGAGGAACCUGGGCAUGGGCAGGGGAGAAGACCCAGAUUCAGUCCAUCCUCCUGGGGAGUGUUGGUAGACAUUAAACAAGGUUGUCUGCCUCUCUGGACCCAGACCUAAAAUCCAGAGUGGCCCCUAGGGACUAAGUGGGUCCUAGCUGAGGAUGUGGCUGGUGGCUCCUCCAUACCUUUCCUCCAGUACAUGUGGGGUUUCUUGCUGUUCCUCUCCCUUUUCUUCUCUGCCUCCACCAGCUGCAAGGACACCUUCAGCUCACAGAGGGACUCCCAUGGUCAAGACACUGAUUCCAACCCAUGCUGUCAUCUGAACUCCCCCAGAAGCUGGAAGCACCCCCAGGCACUUCCUUCCUUCUAACACUGGCUGCAUGGCCCUGAGCUGCAGAGGCAGUUCACACCCAGGCCUGUUCUUGGGGACUCUCUACUGGGAGGCACAAGGCCUUGUACUGAGGAGUAGACUGUGCCUGGGUCCCAAUCUAUUGAAUGUGAAGGGGCUGAGGAUGUGGCUCAGUAGUUAAGCAGCCCUGGAUUCAAUCCCUGGGGCAGCCUCUCGAUGUACUCUGGGCCCUGGUUACACACGGAGCAGAAGAACAGGCUCAUUGAGGCAUUGUGUGCAGGCCUCGUGGAACCACUGCCUGCAUCGAUAACACUGCAGCAUCCGCAGAUACCAUCUGGAGAGGAAGAAGAAACACGGUCAGCCACGUUCACAAUUAGGCAUGAGGCUCAGCAGCUGUGCCCUCCACCCAAAGAGAAGGAAGGAAACUCCCAGAUACUAAGCACUCAGGCUGUGCCUGGAGGUUCUGGGAGCCAGGCGUAUGCCACUUCGUUGGACCUUACCAUCUGGCCGAGAUGAACAUGCCCCCAUAUUACAGAUGAGUUAGAGGAUAAAUGGCUUGCUCAAGGUCACUCAGAACAUGGAAGAUGGUGACUCAAAUCCUGGUUUCCUCAAUUUCAAAGCCUGUUUUUUUCCUGCCAUUCCAUAUCAGAGCCCCCACCUCUGGCCUGUGUUUGUUCCCCAAACAUCACAGACAUCCUGAGAAAUUCAUGGAAGAAUAAUGGUUCCUGUAAAGCUACAUGGGGGCAGGCCUAUACCUAUUGUUUCUCACCUGGUACUGUAACUACUGCAUUAGGGCUAUUCAACAAUUAGUAUCUGAUUGUGAAUGAAGGCCAAAAAGAUAUUCCCUUAACAGCCAACAUUCUGCACUUUGUCAGGUGUGGUCCAGGAUAACCUGCAGGUUCCUUGGUCCACUUCAGACCUUUGCAAUCUUUGGGGAAGCCUCCAGGAGAUGCAUCCUUAGCAAUCACCCAUUAAACACUGAAACACACUGCCUUAAGGCCAUAAAGGUUUCUGUAAA